AGCGAACGCUGGCGGCAGGCCUAACACAUGCAAGUCGAACGAAGUCUUCGGACUUAGUGGCGGACGGGUGAGUAACACGUGGGAACGUGCCUUUAGGUUCGGAAUCACUCAGGGAAACUUGUGCUAACACCGAAUGUGCCCUUCGGGGGAAAGAUUUAUCGCCUUUAGAGGGGCCCGCGUCUGAUUAGCUAGUUGGUGAGGUAAAAGCUAACCAAGGCGAUGAUCAGUAGCUGGACUGAGAGGAUGAUCAGCCACAUUGGGACUGAGACACGGCCCAAACUCCUACGGGAGGCAGCAGUGGGGAAUCUUGCGCAAUGGGCGAAAGCCUGACGCAGCCAUGCCGCGUGAAUGAUGAAGGUCUUAGGAUUGUAAAAUUCUUUCACCGGGGACGAUAAUGACGGUACCCGGAGAAGAAGCCCCGGCUAACUUCGUGCCAGCCGCCGCGGUAAUAC
rnacentral:rRNA from 1 species